UGACCCCAUGCCGAACUCAGCAGUGAAACGCCGUCGCGCCGAUGGUAGUGUGGGGUCUCCCCAUGCGAGAGUAGGGCACUGCCAGAC
rnacentral:rRNA from 1 species